GGUCGUUUAACUUUAAAUGACAAUAUUUGAUGCAGAUCUAAAGAUAAAUUAUUGCUCAACCAAGCCAUCUGUGUUUGGCCGAAUACAAAGCUGCAUGAUAUUUAGUCAGCAAGAUGAACACUGUGCUGUUUACUACCUGUCCUGCAGUACUGGUAAUAAAUACUUCUAUUUUCCCAGUGGUGACAGAAGGCUGCAAUGUAAAUUCUGUGUGAGGUCUGAUCUUGUGGACAACAACAAGCCUUCCAACAGGCAGGAUAUCAACAUUCAGUGUGAAAAAUCGACUCCAAAUUAUUGUCCUUUCCAGCUUCUACUCUUGUCAGUGUUAGAGCCUAUUAAGAGCAUUCCAAUGCAUACAAUUAAAACAAAUGACACAGCUAUUUUCUUUCAAAUAGCUGCAUACUCCUAAAAUAGAAACUACAAGCAAAUAAACAACAUAAAUUAAACAGACCAAAGUGGGAUCCAUGAUAUUGCUAAAGCAGUUAAUAAUGGAUUUUAAAACCUUGGUUGCUACAUCUUUAUCCAGGGCAGUAUCAGCAUACCUCCAGGCCACAGUGCUUCAUAUACCAUACUACAAAGCUCCAAGCAGCAUGCGCUGAGUAGACCUCUGAUAUUCUGCGCUGAACUCUCAAGAGGAGGCUGUGUGGUCCAGUGGUUAAAGAAUUGUAACCAGGAGGUCCCCGGUUCAAAUCCCACCUCAGCCACUGACUCAUUGUGUGACUCUGAGCAAGUCACUUAACCACCUUGUGCUCCGUCUUUCGGGUGAGACGUAAUUGUAUUCCAAAGUCUUCAUAAUGCAAAGCAUCCUGGGGACAAAUCCAUCAAUGAUUGAUGAGUGUUGUGUUUGCUCUUGGUUACUGUGGGGUGGCUGAUGGCGGGGUGUCCCUGAAAACUAUACACAGCUCUGCAUCUCCAAGAGCUGACCUGCAGAAUGAUUGUCUAAACAAAUAAGCUGUAGACUAGAAGAUAAGGGACAGACACGGGGUUUCUCAAGCAGUAUAUUGAAUUAUGCUUCUGUAAAUUGCAUUUAUUUUGACUGAGAUUUAAUAAGGACAGAUGUUUAAGGCCACAUUCCCUUCAGGAUUUAACCCUUGUUAACACGGUAUAAAGGCAAGUGAGGUAAACAUUUGUACCCUUCAGAGGACAAAAAAAAAUAAAAAAAUAAAAAAAACAGUCAUGAAACAUAUUUGCAUUAUUGAUAUAUGUUUUGCCAUAUACAUUACAUAAUUAUUGGACAUUAUAUCAUACUACAUGUAUAUCGUUAAUCUAUGAGGACAUCAUGAUAUGCUUCAAAGCGUAACCUGAAUGUUGUAUUUUAUUGAGACCAUGUCAUUGCACCUCAGCUCAGAAAAUUUAAAAAGAGCAACUUGGUACCGGUAUGAAAUAUCAGAGUUAUGUAUUUUCUCUUGGUAUUUAGAAUCACGUUGUAUAAAGUUAUCUGGUGACUCUUUUAAACUCAUAAGUUAAAAGCUCCCCUGUGGCAACAGAGCUUUCAAACAUGUCUUCUCUCUAGCUGGUACACAGGUGCGAGGCCAUGGGAGCGCGUUUACAUUACGAGUUUUCCCUUAUUAAAGUUUACCACAGUAAAUGUUUAUACGAUGCAUUUAACAUAUUUUACAAAGGUUUGUCAUGUUGUUUACUAUGCUUUACCAUACCUCUCCGGACUUUACAAUGCUUACCACUAUGCCUUAUUACACUUUGCCAUACUUUUACUAUGGGGAACUUUUAUAAGGGUAAAAAAGCCACCAGGGCGUGAUGACUGAAACAAAAAAUGAUAUACAAAGUGAAUCACUGUACCACAUAUAAAUUAUUAGAUACAGAUACAAUAAUUAGGUCCUCUGAUCCUUUGUAGCUUUGUUAAUAUCAACAGAUAUUUAUGUGCUAACUAGUUUUAGAUGAAAGGUCAUCCCAAACGUUGGAAGAAAACAAUUAUAAUUAAAUAACAAGUUUAAUGUAGCAUGGUAAAACAUGGUACAGCACAUGAAAGCAUUGUAAAGCACAGAAACAGUACAUAUGUUAAUGCAUUGUUAACCAAGGGCAAAGAAAGCAUGGACAUUGCAAACUGCAAUGUUUUGUGACUAACUUUGAUAAGAAUUUAAUAACUUUGAUAUCAGUGCAUUACUUUAGUGUUUAGUUUGAAUAAGUAAGAUGUAUAAUUACAAAGGAUGCAAAUUAAGAAAUAACCCCAAAUGCUUCAGUGCAACCAGCUUGCAGCAUUGUCCCAGAAGACGAAGCUGAAAAAACUGCAGCGCCUACUCCAAAUUAGAAACAGUAGGUCAGGUCAUUAUCCAUUUGUGUUUUGUAAUCUUCAAUAAACUGUCUGAUAUGCCUUCUUUAUUUACUUAAUUUAAGAGUACUAAAAUAGCUUCUAGCAGAUCCGCAAAGAGAGUACGUUUAAUAGUGUGGAUAAAAAAAAAAAAAAAAAAAAAAAAAAUGUACAGUUAUUUUUCUUAUUAUUUGUGUAUUUAGCAGAUGCCUUUAUCCAAAGCGACUUACAGAGACUAGGAUGUGUGAACUAUGCAUCAGCUGCAGAGUCACUUACAAUUACGUCUCACCGGAAAGACGGAGCACAAGGAGGUUAAGUGACUUGCUCAGGGUCACACAAGGAGUCAGUCGGUGACUGAGGUGGGAUUUUAACCGGGGACCUCCUAGUUACAAGCCCUUUUCUUUAACCACUGGACCACACAGCCUUCUUAGUCAACAUACAGAAAGAAAAUUGCCAGGUGAAUAUAUUGUAUUCCUGUAUGUUUGCUGCAAUGUAAUUAUGCUUAAUAUUCCUGUUUAAUAUCACUGCUGUGACCGCCCCUGUAAAGUUUUAUUGAUAUCCAACCUUCAUUGUUCUCAGUGAGGCAUGCUGAAUAUUAAAUUCUGACCUCCAUAUUUCCUUCUGUUCAUUUUUUAUUUCUACUGCUUUUUUACUUCAGGAAUUGAUCUCUGUUUGACAAACUGCCAUAUGUGGCCUAUAACAUCAGGGCAAACAAU